rnacentral:ncRNA from 2 species
AGUAUCUCUCCCGCUGAUGGUUCACCCGGUGCAUUCCCCGGGUGAGGCAAGAGGGAACCCGGUGGGAAUCCGGGACUGCCCCGCAGCGGUGAACGGGAACGGAAGCCGUCAACACGCACUGGGUGCCACACGCCUGGGAAGCGACGGCCGGUAGGCCGGGCCGGAGGAAUCCGCCCACGCCCGUGAGUCCGAAGACCUGCCAUCGGCGUGCGCGCGUG